GUCGCCGUUUUUGCAAAAACGCCCCUGUAUUUCUUUGAAUUCAACCCGCGGUCCUUUUUAAAGUGGAAAAAACGUUUCGACCCAGAUCCAGCCCGCCGAGGCCUGAGUGCCGCCGCUCCCGUACGCCACCACCACCAGCGCCCGCAGAGCGCCCGACCCUCCUCCUCCCCGGCCUCCCUCGCGCAUCGUCCGACAAUCGGCGCCGGCGACUCCCAGGAGCUCAGCGCCAGCGCCAAUGCCCAGUCCUCGAGCUCACCCUGGAGGUUCGAACGCCGCCACGGGACCUCCACCUGCCAGAUCCGGCGCCUCCCUCCCGGACCCGCGCGCCCUCCACCUCCUCUACCCGAUCCGGCGCCGCCCAAUCCGCCGCGACCUCCACCAUGGCGCCCGCCGAGAUCCUGCGCAUCCUCUCCGUCGACGCGCCGUCGUCGCAUGAGGACUUGGACGCCUGGCUCGCUGACACCUCCCCCAAAUCCUACAGGAGGUUCAGGUACAACAUCUACUUGAUUAAUUUCUGAAUUCCACUUCUUUUUUGUGCAUGUAUAUGCAAUUGAGGGAGACUCUUAUUGAUGAUCUUGUGUGCCAAUCUUACAUGGAUAGUUUGAAUGUGUGAUACGUUGUGUGAUCCAGCGACAAAAUUCAGUUAGUGCUGCUAUGUAUCAGUCAAGGGAAUGGUAUGGAGAAGAGAGAAUGAGGACAAUACAAAGUGAGUGGGAGAGCGUGAGUGAUUAAUGAAUGGGUAUAGGCUUUGUACUAUGACACACAGUACAUUGUACAAAUAAGGAAGUGGGUAGUGUGCUACCUUUGUUGUGAAAAGGGAAGAUUUCUUUCCUGACUCAUGUAGUACCAGUACUGGUGGAUCGAUGAUCUAAGGAUCAUAUGAAUGAUUAAUGGAGGAUAACAUAUUAUUGUUGUAGAGGUGUCGACAACUGCAGUAUUUGAAUCUAAACAUGUGAUACAUGAAAGAGCUAUUUUGAGUUAGAUUAUUAUUUGGUUUUGGGUAUAGAGUAAUUAUUUCGGUACAUGGCUUAUGUCUCAGUAUGUACUAUGUAGCUUAGUCCCAGCAAAAGUGUGAAACCUUGUGUAUUUGUUCUGCAAUCCUGGUAAUGAUUUUUUGCAGAUGUAAUAAUGCAGGUGAAUUUGGGCUUGCCGAAAUAUAGGUGUGUGUUGUGUGCUGCAGCAGGUUUGGAUGCGGCAAUCAAGACCAUGGCUCGGCUUGGGGAGCAUCAAGCAUCGACUGAUGUGAGGAGGCCAAGGUGAGCUUCUCCGAUCCAAUCCCAAUCUGAUUCAGGAGAGCAUAUUCUUAAGGUUGUCAUUGCACUUUCUGGAUAGGUUAAACUAUUGAUAAGUUCAAAUUCUGACUAGGACAACAAAGCCUCAUGGGCCAGAGUAUUCAGGAGGACACCAAUCCAUCCAAACCCAUGGUGUUUGAGGCAGCUUGAAAGAAGGUUUGCUGCAGGGAAGAGAUAGAAAGAGCGAAAUAGAGAAGGCAGGGACGUGAUCUGUUGUAGGUAUGAAGUGAAGUAAUCCUUCCAUUCCUGUUGUUUGUUUUCGCAACUCUGUUUUGCACAACUCUGUUUGCAGUGCGUGCAGUAACUGAUCGAUUGCGUUUUGAGGGUUUUAGGUGUUGAAUAUGACCGGACCAUUAAAAUAAAAGUUGUAUAUAUCUUUUCAAGACCUUUCGAACGAAUAUUUAUUUGCAAUUUUUCGUCAGAUUUCCUAGGAGAUAUGCCUAUCUGAAGUUACUAUUAGUCUUCGUCAGACUGCAGUUUCAGGCAUGACUUCCUAUUUUGCGCGGCGUUUUAAAGUAACUUCAAGGCUGAAUCUGUCCAUGGGUCUAUGGAUGUAUUUUCAGUAUUUGGUUUGAAAUUUCCAAGGAUAAUUUAUUCUGAAAUUUUCGCUGAGUAUAGUGAAAGAUACAACCUUCUGAAUGCUGUUAUCCAUUGCGAGUUCUGUUCUGAACUUCUGACAGUUACUGUUUUCUGUAUUGAGAGGUUGUUUUCUGUAUAGAGGAAUUUUGCUAUGGGACUGCACUUACUUGCCCCCUUGAUUUUUCAGUGUACUAGGCAAAAAAUAUUGUACUGAAUGAUCUGCACUAAUGUGAAUCCCUGAAAGUAGAUUGCAGUUAGAAUUAGAAACCAUUUUUUGGUUUGUUUCCUGAAAUUAAUAGCUGUUGUGAAUUGUACAGGGUUCGUUGUUCCCAUUUCUUAUAGUUUGUAAUUGUAUUCCUACAGUCUAAGAAGACCGUCGCAUGGAUUGAUUGGUUGGGAGGAGAACCGCAACAAGAUAUGCUGCUGAAAAAUCAACAUGGAGUUUGAGUCAGGUUGAUGCAGUGCAUUAACCUCGGCUGAUCUAUCUUGUUCUGAAUUCCACUGGUGGUAACUUCACUCGUAAAUUUCUGCUGCUCAGGUCUUUGACUUUUUUUUGCUGCUCAGAUAUUGGACUUGCGAUUGAAGAACCUGCUGAAGUAUUGAGUGGGCUACUUGUAGCGGAAGAUGCAGCAAGCGAUUGAACCCCCACACUCGCAGCGUUGGACCGAUCAAUGAGUAGUUAUGUAGGUUCUUGGUACACUUGCUGCACCUACUGAAGCGUACAAUGGAUAACGACGAUCCAUUUGCAGCGACGGGUGCACAUCGUCGGUGGUCGCAUGGACAACUCCGGCGAUUGCCGCGGUGAUACCAUGCAGAGAGGUGUUAUGAAGAUCGUAGACUGUAUGAAGGAGGCGUACAUGACUAGCUGACUCCUUUUUCCGGUGGCUGUUCAGGUUUGAUCGGAUCAGGGUCAGCAGAUCGGCGGCGGCAUCCCACAGGAUAACUCGACGGGUGUGGCCAUCACAACGACAUCACGGUAUCGUUGGCCAACCUGUUACAUUAUUAAAAUCAGGUAUGUCCCACAAUCUUUUGCUGUGUCUGAUCUGCAUGCUGACGAACGGUGAAUGAUACCAUGACCAGGCGAGGAAGAGCGCGCCAAUGGAUUUUCCUACCCAGGACUUUGUACUGUACUAAUAUUCAGAAAAAUGUUUGUUUGUAUCUCUUUCAGGUCCGUGCUAGCUAUGUGCAAAAGGAUGAUGCCCAUAUGGACUAAAUUUCUCUCUUUUGUAGGUUAAAAAAAUGGUCUUCUAUGGGUUACAAACCAAUGCUUGCUUGCGUACACUCUGGUGCUCCAGUUAAAGAUGGAAAGUUAUAAUGUAAUGUGAUGAGUAACCAUCAGUUGGUGAAUAGAUUCUCUUAUGAAUACUACUGUAUCUCUCUCAUCUCUUAUAUUGAGUGAACGAACAAAGUGUACAAAUGAAGUCACGGUGAGCUGAGCAGAGCAGCUGGUGAUCAGAUGAUUUCGGGUCCCUGCUAGCUAUUUCUGAUUUUGAAGCUAUUCCUCUAGGACAAAUGAUUACACUACAUUACAAGUUGAAAAAGUGUGCAAAGUGGAAGUUAGUACUAAAGCGAAUUGCUCUUUUUGAUCAGCCAACAAAUUUCAGUCAUAAUAUGUGCCAUUCAAGUGGAAACACAAACUAGGACGUGCAAGAUUUGUUUCUCCCGUUGCAACGCAUGGGCCUUUUUUGCUAGUAUUUAAAAGAGAGAGCAAUGCAUCUAUGAGACGAC
rnacentral:rRNA from 1 species